GACGAACGCUGGCGGCGUGCUUAACACAUGCAAGUCGAACGGAAAGGCCCUGCUUUUGUGGGGUGCUCGAGUGGCGAACCGGUGAGUAACACGUGAGUAACCUGCCCUUGACUUUGGGAUAACUUCAGGAAACUGGGGCUAAUACCGGAUAGGAGCUCCUGCUGCAUGGUGGGGGUUGGAAAGUUUCGGCGGUUGGGGAUGGACUCGCGGCUUAUCAGCUUGUUGGUGGGGUAGUGGCUUACCAAGGCUUUGACGGGUAGCCUGCCUGAGAGGGUGACCGGCCACAUUGGGACUGAGAUACGGCCCAGACUCCUACGGGAGGCAGCAGUGGGGAAUAUUGCACAAUGGGCGGAAGCCUGAUGCAGCAACGCCGCGUGCGGGAUGACGGCCUUCGGGUUGUAAACCGCUUUCGCCUGUGACGAAGCGUGAGUGACGGUAAUGGGUAAAGAAGCACCGGCUAACUACGUG
rnacentral:rRNA from 1 species